UCUAUAAUCAUCAUCUUUUUCCAACUUCAUAUGUUUAUAUCUACAUAUAUAUGUAUAUAUACUAUGGCAGUUCAGAAUCGGAGGCGUGUCCGGAACUUCUCCGUGUUCGUGGACUCAUCGUCAUCAUCGUAGCUGGCUCUCCGAAUUCAUCCUCAUCGUUCUUCCCGUCGGAGUAUGCGACUCAAUCUCCCCUUCGCCGUAUCUACCGUCAAAUUUUCUUAUCAUUUUAUUUUAUUAAUCUAUCUCUAUUUUCUCCCUCUCUAUUCUCUCACACACAGACACACACACGAGAAAAAUAAUUACCUGGUUGUUUGGGGGUUUUGACUUCCAUCGAUUUCUUCGACAUAAAGAUUUUACUGGUCAUAAUUUCCGGGCAGCGACGAUUUCCUCCCCGACGGCGAAGUGAACGGAUCCUCCACCGGAACGACGCUCUCGUCGCAAGUGGAAGCCCCAUCGCUUCCCGAUUCAGAGUUCUCCCUCUGGCUCACGUUAGCCCUCUCCCUCUCAGUA
rnacentral:lncRNA from 1 species